GUAGUACUCCCUCCGUCCCAAAAUUCUUGUCUUACAUUUGUUUAGAUACGGAUGUAUCUAACACUAAAAUGUAACUAGAUACAUCCGUAUUUAGACAAAUUUAAGACAAGAAUUUUGGGACGGAGGGAGUACAAA
rnacentral:pre_miRNA from 1 species